rnacentral:rRNA from 1 species
UAUCUCUGUAGAGUCUGCAUAUCAAUAAGCGGAGGAAAAGAAACUAACUAAGGAUUCCCCUCAGUAACGGCGAGUGAAGCGGGAAGAGCUCAAAUUUGAAAUCUUCAAGGGUUUACCUUUACGAAUUGUAGUUUAAAGAAGUGUUUUCUGUUGGAGUUUUCGGUAAAAGUUCUUUGGAAUAGGACAUCAUAGAGGGUGAGAAUCCCGUAUUUGGACCAUUUCUUCCAGCUGUGUGAUACACUUUCAAGGAGUCGGAUUGUUUGGGAAUGCAGUCCAAAAUGGGUGGUAAAUUUCAUCUAAAGCUAAAUAUUGGCGAGAGACCGAUAGCGAACAAGUACCGUGAGGGAAAGAUGAAAAGAACUUUGAAAAGAGAGUUAAACAGUACGUGAAAUUGUCAAAAGGGAAGCGUUUGACACCAGUGUUGUUUUCUCGAAAAUCAAUUAAAAAUGGCCGGAUUUUGUGUUGUAUUGACUUUAUCAGCUUUCUGCACUUUUUUCUUGUCUUUUUUAAUGCACUUUUCGUUUAACAAGUCAACAUCAAUUUCUUUUGUUGUAAAAGAGUCAUUGGAAGGUGGCUUUCACUUCGGUGAAAGUGUUUAUAGCCUUUGACUUCUGCAAUCGGAGAGAUUGAGGUCUGCAGCGUAGAUCCUUCGGGGUUAGAUACAUUUGUGCUAAGUUAUAGUUUUUCAUAGACAACAUGUUGACUAUGAUUAAUCAUGUAGCUUACUCGCUUAUGCUAUUUUACCUACGCUUAGGAUGUUGACGCAUGAGAUAUACGC